rnacentral:hammerhead_ribozyme from 1 species
AUUCAACUAAUGAGUCUCAAAUAGGACGAAACGCGCUUCCUAGAU